rnacentral:misc_RNA from 1 species
UCCGAGUUGACCCCGGCAGUCUCCUACGAGUCCCCGGCAUUACCCGCUGGCAACAUCGGACAGGGGUUGCGCUCGUUGCGCCACUUAAGGCAACACCUCACGGCACGAGCUGACGACAGCCAUGCAGCACCUGUGCAGGCUCCCGAAGGAGCCCCGUGUUUCCACGGGUUUACCCUGCAUGUCAAGCCCUGGUAAGGUUCUUCGCGUUGCGUCGAAUUAAGCCACAUGCUCCGCCGCUUGUACGGGCCCCCGUCAAUUCCUUUGAGUUUUAACCUUGCGGUCGUAAUCCCCAGGCGGGGUGCUUAAUGCGUUAGCGUCGGCACGGAGAGGGUCAAUACUCCCCACACCUAGCACCCAACGUUUACGGCUGGGACUAC